UCCUUCAUCAUCGUCAUCAUCAUCAUCAUCCACAACUAUAGGGUUGAUCAUUCGCGUAGAAUUCGGAUGAGUGGCAGCAAUUUCCAGGGUUUCCAUGCCUGGGGCGAUAGAAGCACCUAGUGACACCCGAGAAGAGCUCAACGUCGUUGAUGACGUGUCGACUUCUUCAAAUUCGUCCUCAUCUUCGCUAGCCUCUGCCUCUACGUCAACCUGAGCGGGUGUCACAGUGCCACUAGGCACGAGAUCUACCUCUUCCAUAUCUCCGUCCUCUUCUUCUAUCAAUUCGUCUUUUUCAACGCCAACAACUCUGAAUCCUUCAUUUUCGCUCCUUGAUUUCCUUUCAGCAUCUCUACGACUGAGAGCCAAGGCUUUCGCCAGAUCUUCAUCGACCUCCAUCUCAUCGUCUCCCAGCUCUUCUUGUUGCAGAGCCAAUGCUAAAGCUUCAUCGUUAGCUGUCGGCACAACUUCUUCUUCUCCCUCGCCAUCAACAUCGAAUAACGGCUUGGAUGACGCCGUUCGUGACGGCCCAAAGGGUGUGACAGCAACGUCGAGAGGGGCCCGGGCCGGACGUUUGGGAGCGUAGCGGGCAGCAAUAGCCUCAAGCACUUGUUGACGACGGUAUUCUCGGAGGUCUUGAUCCAUAGCGGCCUGUGGAGGCCUGGAUUCUGGACGUCAGGUAAAUCUCAAUAUGAUCCAUGAAAAGUAAACUCACGGUGAUACGAGUUCAAUGUCCGAAUCAUCCUCGCUUUCGGUCUUAGGUUCUGUAGGUUCAACCUCUAUUGGCUUCUCCUUCGACCCCUCUCUGAUUCCCAAAGCCCAUCCUCCACCUUCAGUCUCGUCCUUCUUCACUAAUACAUACUCCCUGUUUCUUUCUGCCGCGAUCCUCACUGGAAUGGUCAAAUGCGCUUUACCAACCAUAUCCGUGACCGUUAAAAGCUGCUGUGUCAAAGCGUUACGUUGCGAGAGGUGCUUGAUUUGCGCCUUGGAAAAGUCUAAAGGAGUAGGUGCGGCGCGAAGCAUAUCGGCGAGUCGGCGAUGAGAUUGUUGACGGGAUCGGAUGCGCAAAUCACCGAUAAUUUCGUACUGGACCUCGGUGGGCAAAGCACGAAAUUCGGCUGAUUCUAUAUCGAUGUCCUCGGGAUGAACCUCGUCUAUGAAUUGUUUGAGCUCCU
rnacentral:sRNA from 1 species